AGCACAUUCAAUCAUUAAGUACACGAAGUGCAUUUCUGGUAUCAUAAACUGUGAAUUGAAUCUAUAUAUUUAGAGAGUCAAGGUACAGAACCUCUUAAGGUCAAGCAUCUUGUGCUUUUGCAUUACAAUCCAAGACUUUAAAGAGAACUUCACAACAAGCAAACUCCAAAAAAAUUCUACAUUUUUUUAAUAUUCAACAUCUAUCAAAGACACGAGCAAAAAUGGAUGACCGGCACUUCUAUGUAUCUUUGUAGAGUUGCACCACAGUGAGAAAAGUAAACCGAUGGGCAUCAGAUCUUGCAAGUCCGGUGAGAACAUCCAAACAGAGUACUAAAUGUCUCCACUUCCUUGAUUAUAUUUCCUCCCAAGAGCACAAUAAAAUUCACCAGUAGUACAAAUGCAAUAUAACACAUCUUCCUCUUUGUAUCUUCUACUGCACAAUGACUAUAAUUUGCUAGAGUUUUUGGUUUUUCUCGUCCGCGUCUUAUCUAAUUAUAAUAUAUCACAACUUGUGGCAUUAUUUUCUUCUUUUUUUUAACUGCACAGCUUCUUUGGAACCAACUUCUUCAUCUUUGAUUUGAUCUUAUUUUUCCGUGAUUUCCUCCUCUUCAAGUCCAAAGAUACGCACAUUGACUCUGCUUCCUCCACCACCUUCUUCUAUUCCAUUUUUUGAUAUCCCAAUUUCCCUUCAUAAUUGUACUUAUCCAUUUGUUUCUCCCACUGAAUUCUCUCAACACAAUUUGGUUCCAUAAAUUCUGAUUCUUUUUCGUCCUCGCUUUCAUCUGCUUCUUGUUCUUCACAUGAGGCAUGGUAUCUUCUCAAAUUGAACAAAAUUCAAAACUCUCGAAAUUAUGCUCCUCAUUUUUUGAACUACGCAGCUUCUUCCGAAUUAAUUUUUUCAUCUUUGAUUUAAUCUUAUCCUUCCGCGACAUUUUCCUCUCCAAUUCCAACAAUUCAUGUGUAGACUCUUCGUCCUUCGUCACCACAUUCUUCGAAUCAAUUUCUUGACAUCCCAAUUUUCCUUGACAAAUGUGCCCGUCCAUUAUCUCAUUCUUGCUUGGAAUUUCCUUACUAAAGUCUGGUUACGUAAAUCGAGGUUCUUUAAAUGACCUCAUUGAUUCACAAUUCUUAAAACCAGAAUACCCAGGAUCAAAACAAUCCUUAUUCUUUUGAUCUGAAUUAUCCUUUUUGAAACUGAAAAACCUUUGAAUCCUUUUACAAUCAAUAUUGACGCUAUCAAAAAUCUACACCUGCUAAUUACUCGAGCUCGAGGACUUUGAAUGAGUACGAUCGUUGUCUUUCGAUAAUUGAAACAAAGGCAACGAGGUGUGUUCUCAUAGCCCCUCUGAUGCUUAAGUCAAAA
rnacentral:lncRNA from 1 species